GGACAUUUGGCCUGAAUGUUUGGAAAAGGCUCCAGGAUGUCCAGAUGGUUAGUGAUUAUAAUCUAAGAAAAAGCGUAAAGGAGGAUGACGACUCCAUAGAUGCUUCCCAGGCCUUCACUGAGCUGCAGUGAGCCAAGUCCUGGGAGCAGCGUACACGUCCAAGCGGCAGCCUCCAAGUCCCAAACUCCUGUUCACCAAUGUGCAGUACGCCUGGGUGAAGUACCAGAUCGCUCCUCAGAUCUACCAAAUGCUGCACUUCAAUGAACUGGCACCCACCCACCCGCCUGACUUGAUGAAGCACAAGGUGCUAAGCAGCAGGGCCGGCUCCUCCACCUGGAGACCCACACCUUCCAGAAGGACCUGGAUCCUGAUAGGGAGACGGCACCCAGCACCACUGCCAGCACGCCCACUGCCUCCUCCACGUACACCUCAUUGUCCCAGUCAGCCCCAGCCUCUGGGUUCCCGGGGUCCAACCUGUCCACCUCCCUGGGGCCGCAGUCCCCCCAGGUGUCCAGGUACAUCGUGCAGAGGUCAGCGACCCCCAUGCCUGUCAGCUCCUCCCCAAAGCAGCUCUCACGGCCUCUGAAGACCCCUCCUCUGUCCUCCGUGAAGAAGAGCUCCCGCAUCAGGUUCUGAGGUGGCCCGUCCUUCUCCCCUGUCCUCCAGCAGGUGCCCAGGCCAGGGGGGCCUGGCUGUCCCUGGCUUACCCCUGCCAGGCCCAGGGAUAUAGGCCUCCUGGCUGUCUCUGCCCGGCCUGGCUGGUGAAGCUGACCUUCUUCCUCACCAGGGACUUGGAGAAGGAAAUAAAUGUUCUCAGAUGUUGGAGUCCCACAGGCCCUGAGUUGGGCUGUGUGUCCCUUGUGCCCUUAGGUGCCAGGCUAUGUCUCUGAGAUCGUGUCAUACUCCCCCUGUGAGGCCCUGGGCAAGCGCAGGGGGAGAGGCCUGCCCCCAGGAGGCAGGUGCAGCUGUCUGGCAGGGGCUGUGGGUGAUGCCGCUGGGUGAGCUGUUUGGCUCUGAAAAGUGGUUCACCCUCAAGGCAAGAGUGAGGCCCAGCAGUCAUCUGGAGGUAAUAGUGGCUGUUUGUCUCCUACUCCUGCUGUGUGUCUGUCCUCCUCCACCACCAAGUGUUGCAGUCGGGGUCCGUGAAAAUGAGAAACUGAGUCAGAAUGACGUUUAAUGCAGAGGGCUUAGGCUCCCUUGGAGACUAAGCACCAAGCCAGGGCUUCCCUGUGCUUUUAUUAAGCUACAGCAAGUAAAAAGACAAGCAUCACUUAAUGAUUAUAGGAUGAGUUUUUUCAUCAAGCUAAAUAAUUGCAAACUAAUCACCUCUUAAAGUUCCUCUUCUGUCUUGUCAAGUCAUCCGCCACGUGAGUCUCACGGUGUGCUCCUUAUCUGGGUUUACCUCGGAAAGGACAACGGGAACUGUUUGCAGUCCUUGUGUUUUGCACUUUGCAUUUUACCUUUUUCUGGCUUUAUUGAGAUAUACUUGACAUAUAACAUUGUAUGAGUUUAAGGUAUACAGCAUGAUAAUUUGAUAUAUACUGCAAAAUGAUUACCAAAAUAGGAUUAGUUAACACCUUGAUCACUUUUCAUAAUUACCAUUUCCUUUUUGUGGUGAGAACAUUUAAGAUUUCAGCAAUUUUCAUGUACAUAAUAUUGUUAACUAUAGUCACCAUGCUAUACAUUAUAUCUCCCAAACUAAUUCAUCUUGUAAGUGAAGGUUUGUACCCUUUGACCAAUCUCUCUCAAUUUCCUCCAUUUCCAGUCCCUAGGAACCACCAUUCUGUUCUCUGCCUAUGAGUUUGGCUUUUGGUGCAUUUUAUUUUAGGAUUGUUAUGUUUUCUUGGUUUGGGGUUCACUCAGCUUUUUAAAUCUAUAGGUUUACAUGGUUUGCCAAAUUUGGGUAGUUUUCAGCUAUUUCUUUAAGUAUGUUUUCUAUACUACACUCUUUCUCUUCUCCAGGGAUUCUAAUGACAUUAAUGUAUUUCGGAAUUGUCCCACAGGCCCCUGAAGUUCUGUUCACUUUUUCAUCUAUUGUUUCUUUGUUCAAGUUGUAUAAUUUUCAUUGUUCUAUCUUCAAGUUCAUUGCUUCUUUCCUGUCAUCUCUGUUCUGCCCAUGUCCAUCCAGUAAGUUUAUUUCUGUUACUGUAUUUUUUAGUUCUAAGAUUUCCAUGUGAUUUUUCUUUGUAUCUUGUUUCUCUGCUUAAGCUUACUAUUUUUCUGUUUCAAGAGUGUUUAGUUUCUUGAAGUUUUUCUUUUUGAGAUAACUGCUUUAAAAUCCUUGUCAUAUAAUCCCAACAUCUGUGUUAUCUUGAUGUUGGCAUCUGUUGAUUGCCCUUUCUCAUUUCAGUUCAGGCUUUUUCUGACUUUCUGUAUGACAGUAUUUGAUUUUACCCUGCACUUUGGGGUAUUAUGAUAUGAAAUUCUGGCUCUUUUAAAAACCUUCUCUUUUACCAAGCAUUCAGCCAGUUUAGCUCGGAAUUCACAUCUGGCUCACUUCUGUGGUCUGAGUUUGAAUGUCAGUUUAGUGUCAAAUUCGGUGCUAUUUUGGUGUGCCCUGCUUGUGUGUUACUCAAAGGCCAACCUAAACUGUGUAGUAUUCCACAUUAUAGUGUAUAGUUCAGUUCUCAAAACUUUCACUAUGUUAAUUCUGGUGUGUCUGACAAAUAGGUCACUUGGUUGUGUGCCCUGGAUUUCAUACACGAAUUGAAAGACUCUCUGCAGCUUCUUCAUCUCUGUAACCCUCCCCAUACACUUUAGCUGUAAGGGGGUGGGUGAUGCCUCUUUGCUACCUUUGAUUAGUGCAGGACAAGGAUAUUGACAGGGCCCUACUCUGCGGUCUUCAUAGUAUUCCAUGCUGUGGAAGAGGAAGAGGGAGAAGAAGUGGUCGCAUGCGUACAGGGCAGGGCUAACUGACAGAGCUCAUUAUCAGUCAUCCCUGGUGGAGGGAGAGGGCCAUCCACACAUUAGUGCACAGCAGAGAUGGUGGACAAGCUCUACACCAACGUCUCACCAGAGCGGGGAGAGGGAGCGAUGUGGCUUAUAUCAUAGUGUUUGCCCAGAGAAGAGCAAGUAUUGUCAAAUGGUCUUUCCUUCAUUGCUGUCCUUCCCAGUUCUCUGACCCAAGAAAGCAGGCUUUCCUUGAGACUUUGUCUGUGCUUGGUGGUGGUUUUGGGUUCUGACCUCCU